AUGCACAUGAUGCAAGCAUUGUAUUGGUGCAGAGGAGGAGCAAUACUCAGAGUGCGGGAGUUAAGAGAGUAUCUGCUGAAACUAAGGUCACAACAGAUCAGAUCUGAUAAAGAAGAGGAGGAUUUUGAGGAAGAACUUUGUGAAAAUGCAGUCACUUUUUUGCAUUUUGACGUGUUCUGCCAAUUUCUAUAUAUUGCUUAUAUGGUUGCACCCAAGUCUUGGUUAUAUGACUUACAAUGCCCAUGUAAGUAUAUAUUAGAUAUCAGAAUUUGUUAUGUUCAAGCAUUAGAAAGCUGUAAAAUUAUAACAUUUAGCACUAGAGCUCGAGGAAUUCAGCAUCACUGGAUUAAGAGAAAACUCCAAGCCUUUGUUUGA
rnacentral:rRNA from 1 species